AUACUUACCUGGCAAGGGAGAUACCGUGAUCAAGAAGGCGGUUCACCCAGGGCGAGGCUCAGCCAUUGCACUCCGGCUGUGCUGACCCCUGCGAAUUUCCCAAAUGUGGAAAUCUCGAUUGCAUAAG
rnacentral:snRNA from 8 species